CGAUCUCAAGAUGCAUUACAGUCCUCGACGAUCUUUCGUUUGAAGAUAAACUAAUUGUGAAUUUUUGAAAAAAUAAAUUUUCAAUCGAUAUGUCUGAUCGUAACACUGCCCAAGGCCAAGCCAACCGCGACAACCACGCAAAUCAACUUAAUCCAAAUCAUGGACAGUGGAAAGGCGGAUCCAACCACGCCAAUCAACUCAACCCCAACAAUCCUCAAUAUGGAGGUGGAAG